rnacentral:rRNA from 1 species
GACGAACGCUGGCGGCGUGCCUAAUACAUGCAAGUCGAGCGAAGUUUUUCUGGUGCCUGCCCUAGAAAAACUUAGCGGCGAACGGGUGAGUAACACGUAAAGAACCUGCCUCAUAGACUGGGACAACUAUUGGAAACGAUAGCUAAUACCGGAUAACAGCAUUAACUGCAUGGUUGAUGUUUAAAAGUUGGUUUUGCUAACACUAUGAGAUGGCUUUGCGGUGCAUUAGCUAGUUGGUGGGGUAAAGGCCUACCAAGGCGACGAUGCAUAGCCGACCUGAGAGGGUGAUCGGCCACACUGGGACUGAGACACGGCCCAGACUCCUACGGGAGGCAGCAGUAGGGAAUCUUCCGCAAUGGGCGAAAGCCUGACGGAGCAACGCCGCGUGAGUGAAGAAGGAUUUCGGUUCGUAAAGCUCUGUUGUUAGGGAAGAAUGAUUGUGUAGUAACGAUACACAGUAGAGACGGUACCUAACCAGAAAGCCACGGCUAACUACGUG